rnacentral:lncRNA from 1 species
UAAUGUAAGCUUAAGAGAGGAAUAAGUGAUUUUGGAUUAUAUGCCAUUUGAUAGACUUAUAAUAAAAGUCAUAUUCAAACCUCACGUAAGUAUAGAGAUUGUUAGAAUGUUUAGUAUUGUGAAAGAUGGAGAAAUAUGAAUUGAUCAGGUUUUUGGUGUGUUGUAGGUAAAGGUUGUGUACAGAAGAGAAACAAAUAUAAUUGAAGCACUAACUUCUCUAUAGUUACAUAACUGGUGAACGUGUAAGACAAUAAAAUGUACCUACUAAACACUUUAUGAUAAGCAAUAACUUCUCUUUGCACUUAUAUUACAUGUGAUGUAUAUUAAGUAAUGUCAGUUUUAGUUAGUAUUGAAGCAAAGUCAAACGGACGAUUAGUAUAAGAGUAUUUGAUAUUUGUAUUAUUCUAUUCGAUAAAUAACCGAAGUAUGGUAUAGUUUAAUGUGAGACUGGUUUAGAUUAAAUAAUACGGUUGAUAUUAAGUAAGUUUAAUAAGGAGCGUGUCAUAUAAGUGUUAGGUUCUGGAAUGAGUCCAAAAUUUAAAUGACAACAUUUUAUAGUAGAUAAAAAAUAGUAUUCUAAAUCAGUAGAUUAGAUGUUUAGAUUCUAUAUUGCGGUGACCAUUGCUCCUUAUAUUGCGGUGAAGAAUCUGACCCACGCUGUUUUUAAACUAUCUCUUUACACUAUACUAGAUUUUGAUCCGCGCAACCGCGCGGAGUAACAAUCAAAUUGAUUUGUUAGAAAAUUAACUUGUAAUUUGAUAAUUCUAUACAAAGCAGAAGAUUUUCUAGUGUUUAUGUUUGUAGAACAUAUUCACUUUAUUUUUAAUAUAUGACGUUUUGGAAAAUCUUUUUUCACUUCAAAUUAGAUGAUAUUUUCAAUUUUCAAUGCAAGUUUAUUCAUUUUUUUUCUUUUUAUAUAACCUUUUAUAUUAUCUGUUGUAGGUAAAGGUUGUGUACAGAAGAGAAACAAAUAUAAUUGAAGCACUAACUUCUCUAUAGUUACAUAACUGGUGAACGUGUAAGACAAUAAAAUGUACCUACUAAACACUUUAUGAUAAGCAAUAACUUCUCUUUGCACUUAUAUUACAUGUGAUGUAUAUUAAGUAAUGUCAGUUUUAGUUAGUAUUGAAGCAAAGUCAAACGGACGAUUAGU